ensembl:lncRNA
AAGGAAUCAACGGAGAACGAACGUCAGCCUCUCUGCUCGUCUGAGGACACCACUCAGCUUUUCGGGUCAGCUGAGGACGCCGCUCAGUCACCCAGGUUGGCUGAAGACGUUGCUCCAUGUCCUGACAUACCCAAGUGCUCCCCUCUGUUCGCCAACCCCGCGCACAAUGCCACUGUGCUUGCUGGCUCUGCUGAGGAAGGCACUCCACUUUUCUGCCCGGCGGAGGACGUUGCUCUGCCUUCCUGCUCGGCUGAGUGCUGAUUUCACUUGUACCAGUGACACCUGCUCAAGGGAUUCCUAAAGCUGUGGUGUCCAUAAAACCUUAUAAACAUGUGUUCACUUGUGAGAAAGUUACUCUCAGAUGUGACGUACAGGGAGGAGGAAGCUCUGAGGGGACUUACAGUUGGGAGAAGAAUAAAACCAAGCUUUAUAAAAGUGGAGAUGGAUUCAGUGCAGAAAGCACAAUGCAGGAGGUCAGUAUCAGUUGUGUUAUACAAUCUGACAGUGGUGACUACACCUGCAGAGGACAGAGGAGUGCCUCUCGGAGCUCAGAGAUCAGUGAUGCUGUGACACUGACUGUAUCAGGAAACACCACCAGAGUCUCACCACAGCAGCUAAAGACAUUUCAGUUAUUCACAACCCUGACUUCCAUUGGUGAAAGUACAAACACCAUCCAGUCAUUUUCUUUUAGCAGAUCAAAUGAUCAUGAGAGGUUGUCACUGAGCAGCAGAUGACAGCAGGACAAAGAAGAUCAGCUACAGAUUCCAACAAUACAGACUUGUUUACACUCAUUAGUCAUGCUGAAGUACACACACACUCACUCUAAUGAAGACACAAAGAGAACAUUUAGACCCUGUUUACACUGGUGUGUUUUCGUUUUAAAAUGAAAACCAUGCUCGUCCAUUUUCAUUUUAAUGUUUUUUUCUUUAUAAAUAUGGAUAAUUGAGGCUAGCAAGUACGCUAGUGUGUACUUAAUCAAACUUGAUACAAAUUCAAACAAUUCACUUUAUUUGUAACAUUAAUACACUGGCGCACUGCAGUGAAAACAUAAACAAUACAUCAUGGUGAAAACAGGUGCAUAGGUCACAUAAGCAGUCAUACACUCGUUAUGAAAGAAAACAAUAAGAGAUAUUGUUUCUUUUUAAUGUAGGCUGUCCUUCUACAUUUUUUAUUUGAACGUAAU